rnacentral:rRNA from 1 species
UUUAGAGUUUUGAUCUGGCUCAGGAUGAACGCGGCGGCGUGCCUAAUACAUGCAAGUCGAGCGAACAGAUAAGGAGCUUGCUCCUUUGACGUUAGCGGCGGACGGGUGAGUAACACGUGGGUAACCUACCUAUAAGACUGGGACAACUUCGGGAAACCGGAGCUAAUACCGGAUAAUAUGUUGAACCGCAUGGUUCAAUAGUGAAAGAUGGUUUUGCUAUCACUUAUAGAUGGACCCGCGCCGUAUUAGCUAGUUGGUGAGGUAACGGCUCACCAAGGCAACGAUACGUAGCCGACCUGAGAGGGUGAUCGGCCACACUGGAACUGAGACACGGUCCAGACUCCUACGGGAGGCAGCAGUAGGGAAUCUUCCGCAAUGGGCGAAAGCCUGACGGAGCAACGCCGCGUGAGUGAUGAAGGUCUUAGGAUCGUAAAACUCUGUUAUUAGGGAAGAACAAACGUGUAAGUAACUGUGCACGUCUGACG